GACGUAGGGCGCGAGCGUUGUCCGGAUUUAUUGGGCGUAAAGAGCUCGUAGGCGGUGUGUCGCGUCGGCCGUGAAAACCUGCAGCUUAACUGUGGGCUUGCGGUCGAUACGGGCAUCACUGGAGUUCGGCAGGGGAGACUGGAAUUCCUGGUGUAGCGGUGGAAUGCGUAGAGAUCCGGAAGAACACCGGUGGCGAAGGCGGCCCGCUGGGCAGGAAGGCUCGCAAGAGCCGGCUGACGCUGAGGCGCGACAGCGUGGGGAGCAAACAGG
rnacentral:rRNA from 1 species